GAUGAACGCUGGCGGCGUGCCUAAUACAUGCAAGUCGAGCGAACAGACGAGGAGCUUGCUCCUCUGACGUUAGCGGCGGACGGGUGAGUAACACGUGGAUAACCUACCUAUAAGACUGGGAUAACUUCGGGAAACCGGAGCUAAUACCGGAUAAUAUAUUGAACCGCAUGGUUCAAUAGUGAAAGACGGUUUUGCUGUCACUUAUAGAUGGAUCCGCGCCGCAUUAGCUAGUUGGUAAGGUAACGGCUUACCAAGGCAACGAUGCGUAGCCGACCUGAGAGGGUGAUCGGCCACACUGGAAGUGAGACACGGCCCAGAAGCCUACGGGGGGCAGCAGUAGGGAAUCUUCCGCAAUGGGCGAAAGCCUGACGGUGCAACGCCGCGUGAGUGAUGAAGGUCUUCGGAUCGUAAAACUCUGUUAUUAGGGAUGAACAAAUGUGUAAGUAACUAUGCACGUCUUGACGGUACCUAAUCAGAAAGCCACGGCUAACUACGUG
rnacentral:rRNA from 1 species